AUUGAACGCUGGCGGCAGGCCUAACACAUGCAAGUCGAACGAGUGGCGGACGGGUGAGUAAUGUCUGGGAAACUGCCUGAUGGAGGGGGAUAACUACUGGAAACGGUAGCUAAUACCGCAUACCAUCGGAUGUGCCCAGAUGGGAUUAGCUAGUAGGUGGGGUAAAGGCUCACCUAGGCGACUAUCCCUAGCUGGUCUGAGAGGAUGACCAGCAACACUGGAACUGCGACACGUUCCAUACUCCUACGGGAGGCACAAGUGGGGAUUAUUGCAAAAUGUGCGCAAGCCUGAUGCGGCCAUGCCGCGUGUAUGAAGAAGGCCUUCGGGUUGUAAAGUACUUUCAGCGGGGAGGCGUUACCCGCAGAAGAAGCACCGGCUAACUCCGUGCCAGCAGCCGCGGUAAUAC
rnacentral:rRNA from 1 species